rnacentral:rRNA from 1 species
CCUACGGGAGGCAGCAGUGGGGAAUAUUGCACAAUGGGCGAAAGCCUGAUGCAGCCAUGCCGCGUGUGUGAAGAAGGCCUUCGGGUUGUAAAGCACUUUCAGUAGGGAGGAAAGGGUAUUACUUAAUACGUAAUACCUGUGACGUUACCUACAGAAGAAGGACCGGCUAACCCCGUGCCAGCAGCCGCGGUAAU